rfam:Caenorhabditis remanei strain PB4641 contig141.3, whole genome shotgun sequence.
AAUGUAGAUCUCGGCGAGUUCUAUGUCUCUGAUAUAAUCAAUGUUGGCUUAUGAUUCAUUAAGUGGGGUGAAAAAUCGUUUAAACAUCCAAAAAGUUACAGAUUGUCCAAAAUAUCAGAAAUCCCCUUGUUCGGAAAUUGUGUUGGAUAACUGCGGAGAUAGAGAAUCUUUUACUUGCAACUAAGCUCCUGAGUACGGCGGGGCGCAAUUAUUAGAACAGACCAAACGUUUUCGGACGUUGUUUGUUGACUCUGAAUAAAGCAGUUUACUGUCGUCUUCAAUCGACUCGACCCGAUGAUGGUGUCUGCCCUUUCAACUAGCUGGUAGUUCGUUGGACUACCAUGUUUGAAACGGGUAUCGGAGAACAAAGUUUCGACUCCGGAAAGGGAGCCGUAAAAACGGCGUCAUCUUACUAGGAAGGCAGCAGGUGCGAUACUUAUCUACUGUUGACUAUGAGAUAAUGAGUCAAAAUCUAAAGAAUCCUCCUUUUUGGAUGAGUCAUUUCCAUGUGUCGCAUAAUCCAUGAUUCUUUCGAGUCAGCAAGGACAGGGCUAGACUGG